AUUGAACGCUGGCGGCAUGCCUUACACAUGCAAGUCGAACGGUAACAGGUCUUCGGACGCUGACGAGUGGCGAACGGGUGAGUAAUACAUCGGAACGUGCCCAGUCGUGGGGGAUAACUACUCGAAAGAGUAGCUAAUACCGCAUACGAUCUGAGGAUGAAAGCGGGGGACCUUCGGGCCUCGCGCGAUUGGAGCGGCCGAUGGCAGAUUAGGUAGUUGGUGGGAUAAAAGCUUACCAAGCCGACGAUCUGUAGCUGGUCGGAGAGGACGACCAGCCACACUGGGACUGAGACACGGCCCAGACUCCUACGGGAGGCAGCAGUGGGGAAUUUUGGACAAUGGGCGAAAGCCUGAUCCAGCAAUGCCGCGUGCAGGAUGAAGGCCUUCGGGUUGUAAACUGCUUUUGUACGGAACGAAAAAGCUCCUUCUAAUACAGGGGGCCCAUGACGGUACCGUAAGAAUAAGCACCGGCUAACUACGUGCCAGCAGCCGCUGUAA
rnacentral:rRNA from 1 species